rnacentral:rRNA from 1 species
CAAUAGCGUAUAUUAAAGUUGUUGCAGUUAAAAGCUCGUAGUUGGAUUUCGGAACCGGCCGAUUGGUCCGUCCUCUGGAUCGUGUACUGAUCGGUCUGUUCUUCUUCGCGAAGACCGCGUGUGCCCUUAACUGGGUGGGCGCGGGAUUCGCGACGUUUACUUUGAAAAAUUAGAGUGUUCAAAGCAGGCAGUCGCUUGAAUAUCUCAGCAUGGAAUAAUAGAAUAGGACUUUGGUCUUAUUUUGUUGGUUUCCGAGACCGAAGUAAUGAUUAAUAGGGAUAGUUGGGGGCGAUUCGUAUUUAACUGUCAGAGGUGAAUUACUUGGAUUUGUUUAAAGAACGGACUACUGCGAAAGCAUUUGCCAAGGAUGUUUUCUAUUGAUCAAGAACGAAAGUUAAGGGGAGUCGAAGAUGAUUAGAUACCAU